rnacentral:rRNA from 1 species
ACUCCUACGGGAGGCAGCAGUGGGGAAUAUUGCACAAUGGGCGCAAGCCUGAUGCAGCCAUGCCGCUGUGGUGAAGAAGGCCUUCGGGUUGUAAAGCACUUUCAGUCGUGAGGAAGGUAGUGUAGUUAAUAGCUGCAUUAUUUGACGUUAGCGACAGAAGAAGCACCGGCUAACUCCGUGCAGCAGGCCGCGGUAAUACGGAGGGUGCGA